rnacentral:ncRNA from 1 species
UGAACUAGCCUGAAAAUGGAUGGCGCUCAAGCGUGCUACCCAUACCUCGCCGUCGGGGUAGAAACGAUGCCCGACGAGUAGGCAGGCGUGGAGGUCCGUGACGAAGCCUUGGGAGUGAUCCCGGGUCGAACGGCCUCUAGUGCAGAUCUUGGUGGUAGUAGCAAAUACUCAAAUGAGAACUUUGAGGACUGAAGUGGGGAAAGGUUCCAUGUGAACAGCAGUUGGACAUGGGUUAGUCGAUCCUAAGGUAUAGGGAAGUUCCGUUUGAAAGGCGCCCUCGUGCGCCGUGUACCGAAAGGGAAGCCGGUUAAUAUUCCGGCACCUGGAUGUGGAUUCUCCACGGCAACGUAACUGAACGCGGAGACAUCGGCGGGGGUCCUGGGAAGAGUUCUCUUUUCUUCUUGACAGCCUAUCACCCUGAAAUCGGUUUGUCCGGAGCUAGGGUUCCACGGCUGGCAGAGCCCUGCACCUUUGCAGGGUCCGGUGCGCCCCCGACGAUCCUUGAAAAUCCGCGGGAAGGAAUAGUUUUCACGCCAGGUCGUACUCAUAACCGCAGCAGGUCUCCAAGGUGAACAGCCUCUAGUUGAUAGAACAAUGUAGAUAAGGGAAGUCGGCAAAAUGGAUCCGUAACUUCGGGAUAAGGAUUGGCUCUAAGGGUCGGGCUCGCUGGGCCUUGGGGGAAACCUCUCGGAGCAGGGGGGCACUAGCCGGGCAACCGGCCGGCGCCCCCCAGCACCGGGAUGGGGACGCCCUUGGCAGGCUUCGGCCGUCCGGCGGGCGCUUAACGACCAACUUAGAACUGGUACGGACA